GAUCAACGCUGGCGGCGUGCUUAACACAUGCAAGUCGAACGAAGUUUUUCUUUCGGGAGGAACUUAGUGGCGGACGGGUGAGUAACGCGUGGGUAACCUGCCCUGUACAGGGGGACAACAGCUGGAAACGGCUGCUAAUACCGCAUAAGCCCUUAGCACUGCAUGGUGCAUAGGGAAAAGGAGCAAUCCGGUACAGGAUGGACCCGCGUCAGAUUAGCCAGUUGGCAGGGUAACGGCCUACCAAAGCGACGAUCAGUAGCCGAUCUGAGAGGAUGUACGGCCACAUUGGGACUGAGACACGGCCCAGACUCCUACGGGAGGCAGCAGUGGGGAAUAUUGCACAAUGGAGGAAACUCUGAUGCAGCGACGCCGCGUGAGUGAAGAAGUAUUUCGGUAUGUAAAGCUCUAUCAGCAGGAAAGAAAAUGACGGUACCUGUCUAAGAAGCACCGGCUAAAUACGUG
rnacentral:rRNA from 1 species